UACGGAGGGUCCAAGCAUUAAUCGGAUUUACUGGGCGUAAAGGGCGCGUAGGCGGAUAGAUAAGUCAGAUGUGAAAUUUCGGUGCUCAACAUCGAAGCUGCAUUUGAAACUGUAGAUCUAGAGGAUGGAAGGAGAAAACGGAAUUCCACGUGUAGCGGUGAAAUGCGUAGAUAUGUGGAAGAACACCUGUGGCGAAAGCGGUUUUCUAUUUUAUUCCUGACGCUGAGGCGCGAGAGCAAGGGGAGCAAACAGG
rnacentral:rRNA from 1 species